UCACGCCUGUAAUCUCAGCACUUUGGGAAGCUGAGGCGGGUGGAUCACCUGGAGUUGGGAGUUCGAGACUAGCCUGACCAACAUGGAGAAACCCCGUCUCUACUAAAAAUACAAUAUUAGCCAGGCGUGAUGGCACACACCUUAAUCUCAGCUACUUGGGAGGCUGAGGCAGGAGAAUAGCUUGAACCCGGGAGGUGGAGGGUGUGGUGAGCUGAGAUCACACCAUUGCACUCCAGCCUGGGCAACAAGAGUGAAACUCUGUCUCAAAAAACAAAACAAACAAAGAAAAACUAAAUGAAUAACCUUGACUGGAAAUCAGAGACCUGAGUCUGUUGACUGCAGGCUAAGGCCAAUCUUGACCUGUCAAAGGAGUUCAUGAAUAGCAUAGUCAUUUCUUCCUGGGGAGCUUCCCCUGGAGCUUUCCCAGCAUGCUCAGAGCAGCCAUUGAAGGAGGCUUUAUAUUGAGUGAAGCUACAGAGCCCUGGAAAGCUGGGAAUGCACAGGCAGACAUGAGACAACAGGAUCAUGGCCAUUCCACAGACAACUAUGCAAAAACACCUACAGACGGCACUGCUCCUAUAGUCAACCUGAGACCAGAAAACUCUCUGUCCCUUCAUCAGCAAGAAGUAGCCAGAAGGAACAUGCUACCCCUCAUCUUUGUUGUAACUAUGGUGUCUGGAUUGACAGAGUAGGAGCAUCGCCAUCUUGGACAAGCCCCUCAUUCUAAAGUUCACCUUGAUCAAAAACUGCCUAAGUCCAAAGGGCAUCAGCCUAAUGGCUAAGGUCAGCACAACCAUAAACCACAAAUAAUAUCUCCAAACAGAAACAUUCCAAACUCCUCAAUGACCAGAGACAUGCUAGCCCCAAGAUAACCUCCCUCCGGCCAGGAAGAUGCCAGCCUUGUGAUAACCCCUUUCCAGUCAGAAAGAUGUUAUCCCCAAGAUAACCUCCUCUCCACCCAGAGACAUUUCAAUCCCUCCAUAAAACUUCUCCCUCACACAGAAACAUUCCAAGCUUGUGAUAAGCACCCUCAGCCUAAAACCAAUAUAUACUCUUAGUCUGUAAGAGAAAGUGCUCCUGACCAAAAUUGGCCAGAAGCCCCUCAGGUGUAUUUUCUCAAAAAUAAAUCUGUCUUUAACUUUAA